GAUCUGGUUACUACCAUUAAUUAAAUUUCACUUAUUUAAACUGUUAAAAUGAACUACACAUAUUUUCAUAUUUAUUAUCUUACCUCAUAGUCAUCAUUUCUUAUGACAACUAUAAUAACAUCGAUCGUUGUCGAUUAAAUCAUUAAGCCGUGACUAUCAAUAACGAUUAUUAAUCAACAUAGUCGUUUAAGUAACCUAUCUAUCGAUCGUGAAUCCAAGAUAGUUUAAGACAUCGUACCUCGUAAUUUCUCUCGUUCUAACCGUUGUCGUCAUCGUCAUCGUUGUCGUCCUCGUUCUCGUCGUCGUCGUUGUCGUCGUCUCCUCUUAGUUCGACGUCAUCCCCCAUCGGAUAGGAAGCGCGGGGGUGCAUUAGUAAUUAGCGAUGAAUCGGUGCUCAGCCUACGGCGAUGCUCGUUAACCGCUUUACGACGUACUUAUCGGACCAGUCGUAUACGUUGAAGGCGGUCAAUAUCCUUAGCUAUUUACUAACCGCUGUUGCCGUUAAGGCGAUUAGCUUCGGGCUCUUGGUCGCUUCUCUUACUAUCUCUCUCUCUCUCUCUCUCUUUCUCUUCUCUCUGUCACUCUCUCUCUCUCUCUCUCUGUAUCUCUUAGUUACUCCCUAUCUCUAUCUCUAUCUCUACUUCAAUCUCUGUCUCUCUCAUUUAAACACGCACACGCCGUGUCUGUUUAUUCGGUAUUCAAUGAUACGUACGACAAGGACGAAAAGACAUAAAUAAAUACUUAGAUAUCUACAUAUAUACGUCGUCAUUAACCACAGUCGCGUUAGUUGUUAAACAUCUUCUGAACGGGACGUUUCAACUUCCUAAACAUCGAUGGCACACGUAAGUCUCAAGGCAAUUUUUCUUACGAACGAACGAACACGUACGAACAUUACUUCCAUCCUGGAUGUGGAUUAAAAUGCGAAGGAGAAGCCGAUCUCGUCUUUCGUAUCGAAGGAGAGCUUUAUCUCGCAUCUAUUUUGAUCCAUUGAUUAAUCGGCCUUUUUGCGGAAAUUACCAGACGACAAAUGGGGAAAAGUGAAUCACACGGAAAUGAGUUAGUCGUAAGCGUGGGCUGACACCGAGGUCACGGGUGAAACGAAUAUUUCUAGAGGACCGACCUUGAUGACGAAAAGGAGAACAGCUCUGAGGCAGGACACGCAACAACCGACGCUUUUUUCCUCGAUAAUUCUGGCGCCUUGUCUCGAGGCCAUGUCACUGACUGUGGGAAAUUGCAAUGACGAAAUUUAAACGGGCGGAACGAUGAAGAGCGAACGGUGAUGAUGUUACGUUCAUGUUCGAGAGAGAAAUUUGAGAGAGAGAGAGAGGGAGAGAAAUAUAGUACGAAUGAACGUGGCAGCUGCGUUACGAGUAGGUCAGUUUUGUGAUCGUGCAUAUAUCGAAUAACGAAAUCGGUCAACAUAAAUCCGAUCGGAGUUGAAUUUGUCGAUUGUUCUCUCGAUUGAUUUAAACUAGAUAGAUGAAAAAUUAUAUAACAAUUUUUGUUUUACGAUUAAAUAGAGGGAUAAAAUCUAUCUGUGUGUGUGUCAGCGCACGUGCAUCGAGAAAAACAUGGAUGUUUUAAAAAAUGGAAUAUUUCGAAAACUUUAACGCGAAAAUUCUUUCUGUCUUUCCUGUAAAUAUAUAGUACGUUCAAUAUAAAAUGUUUGAUAACGAAUUCUUGAUCGUAUUUUGCUUUGUGUCACGUUCUUUCAAAUAUAUGUUCCGUCUAUAUAUCUAUACAUAAAUAUAUAUAUAUAUAUUAUACAUAUAGACAAACGCGUACGAUAGUCUUGAUAUCGUGUCGUAGAAUCACGCUGUGUAUUCGCGCGUGCAAAGAACGUCGAAUCUUUCCAUUCUGACGUAUUUUCGAUACGUCAGGUAAAUCGAAACGCGACGAUUUCCACAGCCUGUGCAACUUUAAAUGUUAAUUCAAGACUUUUCGGAGCAUAAAGAUAAACCAGGUUUCAUGAUUAAAGCUUCAUUGGUAUUUAAAUAUUCCGAGCGGCCCGGCGUAUUGAUAAA